UACGUAGGGUGCGAGCGUUGUCCGGAAUUAUUGGGCGUAAAGAGCUCGUAGGCGGUGUGUCGCGUCGGCCGUGAAAACCCAGGGCUUAACUCUGGGCUUGCUUUCGAUACGGGCAGACUAGAGGUAUGCAGGGGAGAACGGAAUUCCUGGUGUAGCGGUGAAAUGCGCAGAUAUCAGGAGGAACACCGGUGGCGAAGGCGGUUCUCUGGGCAUUACCUGACGCUGAGGAGCGAAAGUGUGGGGAGCGAACAGG
rnacentral:rRNA from 1 species